UACGGAGGGUGCAAGCGUUAUCCGGAUUCACUGGGUUUAAAGGGUGCGUAGGAGGGCAGGUAAGUCAGUGGUGAAAUCUCCGGGCUUAACUCGGAACUGCCGUUGAUACUAUCUGUCUUGAAUACCGUGGAGAUGAGCGGAAUAUGUCAUGUAGCGGUGAAAUGCUUAGAUAUGACAUAGAACACCCAUUGCGAAGGCAGCUAACUACGCGAUAAUUGACGCUGAUGCACGAAAGCGUGGGGAUCAAACAGG
rnacentral:rRNA from 1 species